CCUACGGGAGGCUGCAGUGGGGAAUAUUGCACAAUGGGCGAAAGCCUGAUGCAGCAACGCCGCGUGAGCGAUGAAGGCCUUCGGGUCGUAAAGCUCUGUCCUAAAGGGAGAUAAUGACGGCACGUGAGGUGGUAGCCCCGGCUAAUUACGUGCCAGCAGCCGCGGUAAUACGUAGGGGGCUAGCGUUAUCCGGAUUUACUGGGCGUAAAGGGUGCGUAGGUGGUUUUUAAUGUAAGUGGUGACAGGCUACGGUUCACCCGUAGUGAGCCUUUGAAAAUGGGAAACUUGAGUGCAGGAGAGGCGGGUGGAAUUCCUAGUGUAGCGGUGAAAUGCUUAGAUAUUAGGAAGAACACCAGUUGCGAAGGCGGCUCUCUGGACUGUAACUGACACUGAUGCACGAAAGCGUGGGGAGCAAACAGGAUUAGAUACCCUUGUAGUC
rnacentral:rRNA from 1 species